rnacentral:rRNA from 1 species
AUGUGUGUCCCUAAGAGUUGGGGCGGUAUGGGUUUCCAUGACAUACGCAGUUUUAACUUGGCUAUGCUUGCUAAGCAAUGUUGGCGUCCGAUUGAUAAUUAUGACUCUUUGUGUGCCAAGGUUCUCAGAUCAAAAUACUACCCUUCCGGUGAUUUGUUUAAUUAUGCUCUAAAGAAGGGAUCAUCCUACGCAUGACAAAGUAUUUGGUCCAAGAUCCAGACUUUCAAGAAAGGAUGUAUUUGGAGAGUUGGUAAUGGACUCAAAAUUAAUAUUUGGGACGAUUGUUGGAUACCAAGCAGUCCCUCAAGGAAGAUAAUUACAGUGCGGGAUAAUUGUGUUCUCACUACGGUGAAUGAACUCAUAGACCCUACUACCGGAAAGGAUAUUGCAGAUCCCUCUGUUCCAACAGUAUACCGAUGA